rnacentral:rRNA from 1 species
AGUGAACGCUGGCGGUAGGCCUAACACAUGCAAGUCGAACGGCAGCACCGUAAGAGCUUGCUCUUACGGGUGGCGAGUGGCGGACGGGUGAGGAAUACAUCGGAAUCUACUUUUUCGUGGGGGAUAACGUAGGGAAACUUACGCUAAUACCGCAUACGACCUACGGGUGAAAGCAGGGGAUCUUCGGACCUUGCGCGAUUGAAUGAGCCGAUGUCGGAUUAGCUAGUUGGCGGGGUAAAGGCCCACCAAGGCGACGAUCCGUAGCUGGUCUGAGAGGAUGAUCAGCCACACUGGAACUGCGACACGGUCCAGACUCCUACGGGAGGCAGCAGUGGGGAAUAUUGGACAAUGGGCGCAAGCCUGAUCCAGCCAUACCGCGUGGGUGAAGACGGCCUUCGGGUUGUAAAGCCCUUUUGUUGGGAAAGAAAAGCAGCAGGUUAAUACCCCGCUGUUCUGACGGUACCCAAAGAAUAAGCACCGGCUAACUUCGUG